AUUGAACGCUGGCGGCAUGCCUUACACAUGCAAGUCGAACGGUAACAGGUUAAGCUGACGAGUGGCGAACGGGUGAGUAAUGUAUCGGAACGUGCCCAGUCGUGGGGGACAACUGCUCGAAAGAGAAGCUAAUACCGCAUACGACCUGAGGGUGAAAGCGGGGGAUCGCAAGAACUCGCGCGAUUGGAGCGGCCGAUAUCAGAAUAGGUAGUUGGUGGGGUAAAGGCCUACCAAGCCUACGAUCUGUAGUCGUUCUGAGAGGACGACCAGCCACACUGGGGCUGAGACACGACCCAGACUCCUACGGGAGGCAGCAGUGGGGAAUUUUGGACAAUGGACGCAAGUCUGAUCCAGCCAUGCCGCGUGCGGGAAGAAGGCCUUCGGGUUGUAAACCGCUUUUGUCAGGGAAGAAAAGGUUCUGGCUAAUACCUGGGACUCAUGACGGUACCUGAAGAAUAAGCACCGGCUAACUACGUGCCAGCAGCCGCGGUAAUAC
rnacentral:rRNA from 1 species